rnacentral:rRNA from 1 species
UAGGGAAUCUUCCGCAAUGGACGAAAGUCUGACGGAGCAACGCCGCGUGAGUGAUGAAGGUUUUCGGAUCGUAAAGCUCUGUUGUUAGGGAAGAACAAGUGCCGUUUGAAUAAGGCGGCACCUUGACGGUACCUAACCAGAAAGCCACGGCUAACUACGUGCCAGCAGCCGCGGUAAUACGUAGGUGGCAAGCGUUGUCCGGAAUUAUUGGGCGUAAAGCGCGCGCAGGCGGUCUCUUAAGUCUGAUGUGAAAGCCCACGGCUCAACCGUGGAGGGUCAUUGGAAACUGGGAGACUUGAGUACAGAAGAGGAGAGUGGAAUUCCACGUGUAGCGGUGAAAUGCGUAGAUAUGUGGAGGAACACCAGUGGCGAAGGCGACUCUCUGGUCUGUAACUGACGCUGAGGCGCGAAAGCGUGGGGAGCAAACA